AUGGAUUGGCCUGCUCUCACCAGCUGCACCAUGGUCAUGAUCCUUCUCUUCCAGCAGUUGAUUGCUUCCGAGGACCGGCUUGUCCCCGGCAAGCCGCUCUCCCCGGAAGCCACCAUCGUCUCCAAUGAUGGUGAAUUUGCCUUUGGCUUCUUCAACCCCUCUAAUUUAACUCCGUCCAGUCUGUACCUAGGCAUAUGGUACAACGGCAUCCCUGAGCUUACCGUCGUGUGGGUCGCCAACCGAGAAACCCCGGCCACCGACACCUCUUCCUCUCCACCAACGGUCUCCCUCACCAACACCUCUAAUCUGGUUCUCUCCGAUGGUAAUGGUGGCCGUCGUGUCCUUUGGACGACCAACGUGGCCGCUGCCUUGGGAUCAUCUACCUUGAUGGCAGUGCUUCUGAACACUGGCAAUCUCGUCAUUCGGUCGUCAAAUGGCACCAUGCUUUGGCAGAGCUUCGACCACCACACAGACACGGCUUGGGACACACUAUAG
rnacentral:rRNA from 1 species